UGUAUUAUAAGUAACGUGUACUUUUUCAACUUUUAAGAAUAAAAAAUAUUGAUUACAGCCAUUUUAAAACAAGUGAUAUCUGGAUGUAGAUUUCACUUUGAAAUUCAUGUCUCAUAGCUUGAAACAUUAACAAAUACAUACUAUCCUGCGAUUAAUUAAUGAAGGCUAUGUGCAAACAUCUCACUUAAGAAUAAGCAAAAAAUGCAAUGAACCCCUUUUCACUCAGUUUGGUAAAAUAAUUAUCCACAACAUCUGAAUUUGCAUUAGAAAAUAUUUAAAAGACAUUUGAAUAUGAUUAAGUCAUAUGAACUCUGACAUAUCUUCCAAGUUUCUGGCAUUAUUUUGAAUUGCAGCAGAAAAGGGAGAGAUGGAGUGACUGCGAACUUGGAGCAAAAGUGUGAGGUGGAUAAAGUUGCAAAAGAAUUGUUCUCAAAACUGAAAAAGUAAUGAAUUUGAUUCUUUUACUAAAGGUUCUAUAUAAAAGAACAUUUAUUCACAAGAAUAUGCAAAGCUGUUGUGGAAAAUGUUUUUUAGGAUAAAUAACUCCCUUACACUAGAGGUCCUGGGGGCAAAGGAGGGAGUGAUUUUACAUUUUAUAAUAAAGGUUACUAUAAACUACUUGUAACGUUUUUCAAGUAAACAAAGAAGUUAAACUAUUAAAAUGAGCUUAAAUGUUUGGCUUAAGGCAGUAAUUUCCAACAGUAAACCUUCUUAGGUGAAUAAAAAUAUUAUGUGUUAGUUUGGUGGAGUAGGGGGUUGUGGUUCAUAAUAUUGGACAUGUGAUAGUUUAAUGUCUGCAUGAGAAAUACAGAUAUCAUAUACCUUGCUGAUUACUCUUUUAUUCUUCUUAAAGUAGUAUGUGGACUUGCCUUCCACUGUAAGGGGGGAAAAGUUGUGAAAAUUGACACCAGUGUGAAUUUAUACCAUGGCAACCAUGCAAGAGAGAGAGAGGCAAGAAUUAGCACCAUGGACAGAGACGAGCAGCCCUCAAAUUAAGAUUUGCAAAGCUUGACACAGUGUUUUCUGUCCCUUUCUGUGAGACACGGAAACUGCGCGUCUUGGGAAUGUUUCUUUCUACGGGACUUUGUGGAAAAGACUGUCCUACUCCACAGAAACUCAUUUAUUUUGACUUAGGCUGGCUUUUCUUAGGACUCAGCCAUCGUGACAAACCGCCAGGAGAGUUAGAGCCCCGAACUGGCUGCGCACCUUCCACUGUCCUCUUUUACAUACACUCCCUUGCCGGCGUGAGCCCGCCUUUCUUCAGAGUGUUCAUGCAAAAUAAAUGCAAAUCCAGGUAGUCUUCGAAAAGUCUGGUAAACCUGCUCCAGAGUUUUUAAUCCUCGAAUUUCCCAGCUGGAAUUGCAGCAAAAAUGCCUAUCUGCUCACCCUUGCUCCCUUCCCCCGGUUCUUCUCACUGCUCCUUCCAACCCCUAGCAAAGGGGUAAAGCCUUUUACUCGAAGGUGAGUGACUCCCAAGACUAUUUUGCGAAAGAUUCUUUACAUUGCAAACACUUUCGUUGGGGACAGUGCCGGGGCGGCAGUGAGCGGGAUCUCAAACAUCCUUUACUUUCUCUUUACAUUGUGUCUUUAAACUCCUGUUCAAGGGGGAAAGACUGUAAAGUAAGAGAGCACACUCAACGAAUAUUCCCCCUGAAUCCUGAGGUUGCUGUUCAAACUUAAAGACACAUGAGUUGUUCAUUUAAAUGUUCUUUUUAAAAAUGUAACUAGUGUCGCGGUAAAUCUUUGAGACCAGCUUAGGUUGGUUCUCCCUUCCCAGCCCCCCCCACCUACACACACACUUUUUUUUUUUUCCUGGACCAAUGUAUGAGGUUCAUUCUCCUUUAGAUGAUUUGCCUGCAGAUAUUCAGACUAAGAUCUGUUGCACAUGUCCCAGAGUGUCUAGGAAAUAUAUUUGCAGCCUCAGAUCGACGAUUAUUUUAUGUAGACGCUCUCACAAAUGUCCCCAGAUUUCCCUCCCGUCUUUUACUCAAUAGCAACUUUUAGGAGGAUAGACUCACGUCUUUCCUGAGCAUGCAAAGAGAAAAUCUAGGCGACUAGGCGAGGGUGAAGGAAAAAACAACAAACAAACAAACAAAACAAAAACCGGAGGUGAAAAAGGGCAAAUCAGAGCCUCAGGUCCGUUUCUUUCAGGGAUACUAACAGCCUUCUUUAAGCUUCCCCCUGGAGCCGAUACAUCUCAUGCAAAAUUAAUACAAGCAAUUAAAAAUAGCAGUUUCCAAAGUUAAAGGAAACCAUCUGUCUCAGCUGGUAGUAAUCAGUCUUUUCUCCGGCCCCUUUACCGGGACCUCCGAUGAAACGGUUUUUCUGCUUCCGAUGCUCGGAGGCUCUUUCUUAUAUUGAAGAUUUAUGUUUCCACUUGUGUGCGAUACACGUCUAAUUUGAAAUAAUAAAGCCGGGCUGAGCAACCAGUCAAUCAGAGCCAUCCAGGGCGCUCGGCACGCCGCCCUGCCCCCCACCUCCCUCCGGUCUCUAACUCUUUCCCUCCUCCCCCUCACGCUCUCCUGGCCCUCCCCCCCUCAUUCCUCCCUCUUCGGCUCUCACACGCGCUCACACUUUUACCCCCACGUGUGUUCAGAUCAAACCCUUGCCCCACAGAGCAAGUGCCGGCACCGGGCCACGGUGACAAAGGCGGAGUUUGUAUCAGAAGAAGACUGAGGCCCGGGGAGACACAGCGGCUAGAGAAACAGCUGUCUUAUCAGCCCGCUGCAGAGAUGGAGAUGGCUCGAGAGGUCCUCAACAGAUAAUCACUUGAAUAGUGAUAGGGCCACGGGAGAGAUUCCAGGAUGAUUUUUACAAUAGCCUAAGAAGUUGUCAUCUACAGGAAAGAAUCUGCUUACCUACUUACAGGAAUAACAGUUAUUUUUCAACUCCCUCCUCCCUUUACCCAGGUAAUUACUAUAGGAUAAUACAGGAAACAAAAAAAAUCCCAGGUAUGUACUCUAACACAUACCUGAUUCUUACCGCACACUUUAUAUCUACAUUUUUCUGCUGCUCUUUGCGAUAUGAGGUUUGAAAUUUUAUGCAUUAUUUAAAUAGAUGUUUUCACAAAUAUUUAAUAUAUGUAAUGACCAGCAUAUAGCCAGUGACAUUGUCGUCUUGAUUCAUUAAUGUCUUAGUGUUGUACCUUGUUCUUUGUGUCUUAAGUGAAUUGCAAGUUCGUUGGUGUCCAUUUAUGAGGUGCAUAGCAAGUAUGAGAAGAUACAUGGCAUUUUCCACGAGGGCAUUUACAUUUUAAGUCUUAGAAACAUUUAUAAAAUUUACCUUCAGCUGACAAUACAUAGUUAAUGCAGCUUUAGAAAAUGAAUCAAUUUUUAUUUUGUUUAACUUCAAAAAUGUGACCAAUGUCAGAAUGCACUUAACUGACAAUAUAAAGGCUUAUAUCACUUUAGGGUAAGGAAAAAUAAAAAAUGAAUUUGUUGGAAAAAAUGAUGAGAAAAAUUUUAACAUGCUGUCAUAAAUUUUAGCAACUAUUAAACUACUUGAAUUAAAAACAAUUAUAAACUUUGAAGUUGUUAUUUGAUUAUUCAUAGGGUAGUAAGCAAAUAAAUAUAGGUCAUGAAAUCUCAAAGACAUUUCUGUUGAAUUGUUAUAUGCAAAAAUCCUUCAUAUCUAACAAAAAAAUAGGUGUUUGGGUUUUUUUUAUUCUUUUAAAUUUAAGUGUAUGGAUGAAUUUGUGCCUUGUGUAUCCUUUAAUGAGAGAGAAAUUUAUGGUUAUGUAAGCUAACUUUUCCUUUCCAUACCAUCAUUUUCCAUAAAGUUAUAUUGGUUUAAAUAAUGGCUACUAUAUAUGUAUAUUAAGAAAUAUUAUUUUAAUGAAUUCCAGCAUUUUAGGCAGUAUUAUAUUAUCUCCAAUAAUCUGAUAACAAAGAUAUUUUUCUGCUUGUUAGAAAACAGUUUGAAUUACCAGCUUUAAUAAGCCCCUUAAGCUAUGAUUUUUAUUUUUUUCUUAAUCAAAUUGAAAAUAUGCACACAACGGACAGCUUAAACUAUUCUUUAAUACAGGUAAGACUUUUUUAAGAUGUGAAUUUGCAUAAAGAUGAAAAGAUACACUGUCGCUAAGUUUGAAAUGUGAAGAUACUUUAUAAAUUUAAAUUAUAGCGUUUCAAAACUAAGAUAAUUUUAAGAAGUGACAUUUUCAUUAUGAACAUAAAAUCUUUUAGCAUGAAAUUAGUAUAAAAAAUCUUGUUUUUAUAUACUUUUUUGUCACAAAGCGAAUGCUAUAUAUGGUUUCUAAAGGCAUAGCAAUUCAUUAUAAAUGAUGAAAAAUAAAAAAUAACUAAAAAUGUAAAGUUAGUUUUUUAAAGGAUUUUCAAUUAUUAAUCCCCCUCUGUGAGAAAUGGGAUAUUAUAUUUUUAAGGCAAACAAUCUUCCUAUGAUGUAUUAAGGCAAAAAUGUUGGAAGCUUUUGAAAUAUCCAAAAGUCUUAAUGUUUUUGUUUAAUGACUGAUUAUAAUUCUAUUACCAAAAAUAUCACACAUAACUAAUUAUGUCCUUCCAGAUAUAACAUUUAUCAUCAGGUAAGGGUCAAAGGAGCAAUACAUAAUCCCUUAGUAUUUCUAAAUAUUUUUCUUAAUCUUUGACAAAAGGCCCAUUUCAAUUUGAUUCAGCAUCCUCUGAGUGCCUAGCAUGUGCCAGAAUAACAAUAUUAGAUUAGAGACAAUAAAUGCUUGAAGGAAAUCAGAUUAUAUUUUAGGAAAUGAUAGUAAAUAGAAAAUUUGAGAGGUUUAAAUAACUCUGUUAAUAUAUUGUAUAAUGCAUAUUCACAGUGUGUCUGGUUUAUGUUGUUGUUAUUUUUUAUCCUUACAAAUUUUUGCACAAAAUCACUUUUUAAAUAAUAUAACUUGUCAAAAAAUUACUCCUUUAUGUAGGAAUAUCAUAGAAGGGAUAUUAUCCUUCUAGGAGCUACAGUUUUGCAAAUUGCUAGUGGCUUGGGUUUUGACUUUAGACACGUGGAUUUGAACUUGAUUUCACGGGGCCUUGGACAAGUUACUUUAUUGCUUCUAAACCUUGAUUUUCUAAUCUAUAAAAUUGUGAUAAUAAUGCUUAAUUUAGAAUCACUGUGAGGUUAGAUGUAAUCAUCAGUAUAAAAUACUCAAAACUUCCUGGCAUGGAGGAAGCAGUCAAUAUAUGGUAACUACAAUUAUGAGAACAAAAAUGGUAACUUAUCACAUUUAUUUGAUGGAGCCAGAAUUAGAAUUCCUGCCUUUGCAUACUGUCUCUUAAAUAUUUUCAUUAGCUCUCAUUAAUGUCCCAACUAAUAUAUUUCAUGAUAAAUAUUAUCUCACAUUUCUAAUUGCAACCAAGUUUAAAAGGCACCAAAAGGCAUAAAGUCUUCUAUCUGCCCUGUUAUGUGACUUCAAUAUAUUUCCCAAUACAAUUUCAUGAUUCACCCAUAAAAAGUUGUGGGUCUUCAAAAAGGAACUGAGUCUGAGAUCCCAUUUGACUGAUAUAAUAAAAAAAAAAAAAACCUUAGAUUUUUAUCGUACCUUUUAUCACAAAAAGCUCAAAGUACUUCUACAUAUUUAUCACUGUAACCCCAGGAAGUAAAGAAGGACAUAAAUUAUCUCUCAUUUUCAGGGGGCAUAACAGAGGCAUUAGGAAUUUAGGUAACAUUUCUAAGGUUAAUAGAAAUAGUUUUCCCGGAUGUCAGUCUUUCUGCAAUCUUACUGUUUUUGGCAUUAAUUAUGGCUACUGUUACUUUAGUUAGGCUCAAACAUUAGUGUUUGGCAUUAACUAUAGCUUAUAAUUCAGUUAAUUACUUGAUGAAAUCAAGUUGAGUCAAAUAUAUACCAUCACAGUCUAAUCAAAUUAAAAUAUUUUGAUUUUAUGUUGAGACACUUUUAUUAUUCAAUUUUAUAUAUGCAUACAUUAUUCUUAUUUACAAUUAUGUGUUAAUUUCUAAGGCAAGAUUUUAAAGGUUAUUACUCAUUUAUGGCAUUGAAAGGAACUAGUUCCAAUCUACUUAUCACUCACCUCUCCCUCGGCUCAUUCUCCCAUUUCCACAUAUAUUUUUAUAGGCUAUUAUCUUUAUUCCAUUUACAUAGGCUAACAGUAUUUUCUGCUCUAGUUUUCUAUUUAGAUGGUGCUUGAAAAAUCUAUCAAAAUAAAUAUCUAAAGGAAUAUAGAGGUAGAUUGUAUAAAGGGCUUUUUAUAAUGGUUUUUUGUUUGUUUGUUUUGAAUAAAACAAAAGUGUAUAACUAACAUCCACUUGACAUUAUAAAAUAUAGAAUAUCAGAAGAAUACUAAAACUUGCUUAUGCUUUAUAGUUUUGCAGUUCCCUCCUGGGCUUACACUGCUAUGAAUUGAUAUAGAUGGAGCUAUAGCUGUGUUCAGUGAGUAAGUGAAAUGGAAGGAAAUAUUUUGCAGCCUUAUAAAAGAAUGAACCUUAAACUUUUAGAGAUCUAAAUUCAUUGUAGGUAACAACAGAAAACAGACUUAAUGUUUUUGUUUUAAGCUUCAAUGGGCAUCUGUCUGCAUCUUAAAUGUAUCAUAUAAUUUAAUAAAAUUGAUCCACUCAAGGUCAAGCCCAGUCAUGUGACUGCCAGACUUCUAUGAGCAAGUGUAAUUAGCACCAAGAAGAAACACAUAUGCAUGCACACAGAACAGCCAGUGCUGCUGUUUAUUGCCAUUUCACACUAACCCCUCUUAACUCUUCAUGUUGAUGUGAUUAAGUAGAAAAUCCAUUUCUCUGAUAAGGCUGAGGAUACUGUUGUAAUAGAAAUAAUAUUCUAUACCUUUGAUCAUUGUCAUUCUAGUAUGAGAAAUUAGAGAAUAUGGUUGCUUGAAAUGUCAGUUUUUGUAAAUGUGAGUUGGAAGAUGUAACGCAAAUGAAUGGUGUUAUAGACUGUUUAAGCUGCGUGAGUAACAAAUAGACAUUUCCUUGAAUUACUUUGACACAAUUUACUGUGAAUUUUUUCCUCUAGAUGGUAUUUCUAGAUUCCUUGUGCAAACAAUAAAAAACUUUCUUUUA